rnacentral:rRNA from 1 species
UACGAAGGGGGCUAGCGUUGCUCGGAAUCACUGGGCGUAAAGCGCACGUAGGCGGCUUUCUAAGUCAGGGGUGAAAUCCUGGAGCUCAACUCCAGAACUGCCUUUGAUACUGGAGAGCUUGAGUCCGGGAGAGGUGAGUGGAACUCCGAGUGUAGAGGGGAAAUUCGUAGAUAUUCGGAAGAACACCAGUGGCGAAGGCGGCUCACUGGCCCGGUACUGACGCUGAGGUGCGAAAGCGUGGGGAGCAAACAGG